rnacentral:tRNA from 1 species
ACCUCUUUAGUUCAGAGGUAGAACGUCAUACUGAUAAUAUGGAGUCUUAGGUUCAAUUCCUGAAUUGGUAA